UACGGGGGAUGCAAGCGUUAUCCGGAAUUAUUGGGCGUAAAGGGUCCUGAGGUGGCUAGCCAAGUCUAUUGUGAAAUAUCAGGGCUUAACCCUGAACAUGCGGUGGAAACUAGAAAGCUUGAGUACAGUAGGGGCGGAGGGAAUUUCCGGUGGAGCGGUGAAAUGCAUAGAUAUCGGGAAGAACACCAACGGCGAAAGCACUCCGCUGGGCUGAUACCGACACUGACAGACGAAAGCUAGGGUAGCGAAAGGG
rnacentral:rRNA from 1 species